rnacentral:tRNA from 1 species
GAGGGUCUAGCUCAGGGGUAGAGUGCAUGCCUAGCAUGCAUGAGGUCCUGGGUUCUAUCUCUGGUACCUCC